GCCCUUGUAGCUCAGUGGUAGAGCGCUUCACUCGUAUCAUGACAUGAAGAGGUCCGCGGUUCAAUCCCGCGUGGGGGCA
rnacentral:tRNA from 1 species